UCCACUCCGUUAAAUAUGAUCUAGAGUAUUUGAAACUUCUAGAAAAUAAAUUUCGUAAUUUUUCGAAAUCAUAAUAAAGUCCAUCAAGCGGGCAUAAAAUGAACGGUCAAAAUCAAACGAUGUCUUAAAAAUGGAUGAUCGGAUCCUUCAAUUUAAGAUCGGAGUUAUUGAUCUUUAUCUAGGUAGUGAAUAGAAUUUUCUAUCAAAAAUUCAACCUAUUCGGAUUCUUUUGCACCGUUAAACUAGCAAGUAUUCCAUACCGGUCGUUAAAAAUUGUCAAUUUUGUAAGCUUUUGAUCGUAAGGUAAAUGAUGUUGAAAAAUUAUGAAAUUUAAUUUCUAGAUGUUUCAAAUGCUCUAAAUAACGUUUAACGGUGUGGAUCGUCGAUUCGGAAGCUCUAUCAUCGAAAACAACUUAUAAGUACGAGGGCGAUCGUUCUCAUAAUAGUAUAAUAGCCGGACUAUAUAUAUAUAUAUAUAUAUAUAUAUAGAGAGAGAGAGAGAGAGAGAGAGAGAGAGAGAGAGAGAGAGUGCGG
rnacentral:lncRNA from 1 species